rnacentral:rRNA from 1 species
UACGGAGGAUCCGAGCGUUAUCCGGAUUUAUUGGGUUUAAAGGGUGCGCAGGUGGGAGAUUAAGUCGGCGGUGAAAUUUUGCAGCUCAACUGUAAAAGUGCCUUCGAUACUGGUUUUCUUGAGUGUAGCUGAAGUAGGCGGAAUUUGUGGUGUAGCGGUGAAAUGCAUAGAUAUCACGAGGAACUCCGAUUGCGCAGGCAGCUUACUAAACUACUACUGACGCUCAUGCACGAAGGCGUGGGGGUCAAACGGGAUUAGAUACCCUGGUA